rnacentral:pre_miRNA from 1 species
GGUAUAAUUUCUGGGUAAUAGAUAACUUUUUGAGAAACUUUUGAACUGCUCUCCAAAGGGACUAUAUAAUUUUAUGUUCCCAUCUGCAAU